UGCUCAGUUGGAUACAAGCCGCGCCCAGCAAGGCGCGGCGACCCACGAGCAACGGCCUUCUAAGCCGUAGGUCACACGUUCGAAUCGUGUAGGGCGGGCCA
rnacentral:tRNA from 1 species